AUUGAACGCUGGCGGCAGGCUUAACACAUGCAAGUCGAGCGGGGUGAUGGUGCUUGCACUAUCACUUAGCGGCGGACGGGUGAGUAAUGCUUAGGAAUCUGCCUAUUAGUAGGGGACAACAUCUCGAAAGGGAUGCUAAUACCGCAUACGUCCUACGGGAGAAAGCAGGGGAUCACUUGUGACCUUGCGCUAAUAGAUGAGCCUAAGUCGGAUUAGCUAGUUGGUGGGGUAAAGGCCUACCAAGGCGACGAUCUGUAGCGGGUCUGAGAGGAUGAACCGCCACACUGGGACUGAGACACGGCCCAGACUCCUACGGGAGGCAGCAGUAGGGAAUAUAGGACAAUGGGGGGAACCCUGAUCUAGCCAUGCCGCGUGUGUGAAGAAGGCCUUAUGGUUGUAAAGCACUUUAAGCGAGGAGGAGGCUCUUUUGGUUAAUACCCAAGAUGAGUGGACGUUACUCGCAGAAUAAGCACCGGCUAACUCUGUGCCAGCCGCCGCGGUAA
rnacentral:rRNA from 1 species